AUUGAACGCUGGCGGCAGGCUUAACACAUGCAAGUCGAGCGGGGGAAGGUAGCUUGCUACCGGACCUAGCGGCGGACGGGUGAGUAAUGCUUAGGAAUCUGCCUAUUAGUGGGGGACAACAUCUUGAAAGGGAUGCUAAUACCGCAUACGUCCUACGGGAGAAAGCAGGGGAUCUUCGGACCUUGCGCUAAUAGAUGAGCCUAAGUCGGAUUAGCUAGUUGGUGGGGUAAAGGCCUACCAAGGCGACGAUCUGUAGCGGGUCAGAGAGGAAGAUCUGCAACACUGUGAGCGAGACACGGCCCAGACUACUACGAGAGGCAGCAGUGGGGAAUAUUGGACAAUGGGGGGAACCCUGAUCCAGCCAUGCCGCGUGUGUGAAGAAGGCCUUAUGGUUGUAAAGCACUUUAAGCGAGGAGGAGGCUACUUUAGUUAAUACCUAGAGAUAGUGGACGUUACUCGCAGAAUAAGCACCGGCUAACUCUGUGCCAGCCGCCGCGGUAA
rnacentral:rRNA from 1 species